GGGGCUGUAGCUCAGUUGGGAGAGCGCUACAUUCGCAUUGUAGAGGUCGAGGGUUCGACUCCCUUCAGCUCCACUA
rnacentral:tRNA from 1 species